CUAUAUAUACCCUGUAGAACCGAAUGUGUGUGGAGUUGCCCUGGUCACAGAUUGGGUUCUAGGGGAGUCUAUGGG
rnacentral:pre_miRNA from 1 species